GGGGAUUUAGCUCAGUGGUAGAGCACUUGCCUAGCAAGCGCAAGGCAAGUUUGGUCCCCA
rnacentral:tRNA from 1 species